rnacentral:rRNA from 1 species
CCCUUAGAUGUUCUGGGCAGCACGCGCGCUACAAUGGUCUUCGCAAACGGAUGCAUUCUCGAAGGAGAAUGCCAAUCUUGGAAUCUAUGCCUUGGUCGGGACAGUUGCUUGCAAUUUUUCGACUCGAACCAGGAGUUCCUUGUAAUCGUGAUUCAUCACAUCACGAUGAAUACGUCCCUGCCCUUUGUACACACCGCCCGUCGCUCCUACCGAUCGAAGAGUUAGGUGAAUUGUUUUGAUCGAUAAGAUUUGACUAUGGUCAACUCUCGUUGUGAAAUUCUGUGAAUCUGACUGUUUAGAGGAAGGAAAAGUCGUAACA